rnacentral:rRNA from 1 species
UGGGGAAUAUUGCACAAUGGGGGAAACCCUGAUGCAGCAACGCCGCGUGCGGGAUGACGGCCUUCGGGUUGUAAACCGCUUUCAGCCAUGACGAAGCUUUUGUGACGGUAGUGGCAGAAGAAGCACCGGCUAACUACGUGCCAGCAGCCGCGGUGAUACGUAGGGUGCGAGCGUUGUCCGGAAUUAUUGGGCGUAAAGAGCUUGUAGGCGGUUUGUCGCGUCGAAAGUGUAAACUCAGUGCUUAACGCUGAGCCUGCUUUCGAUACGGGCUGACUAGAGGAAGGUAGGGAGGAAUGGAAUUCCCGGUGGAGCGGUGGAAUGCGCAGAUAUCGGGAGGAACACCAGUGGCGAAGGCGGUUCUCUGGACCUUUCCUGACGCUGAGAAGCGAAAGCGUGGGUAGCAAACAGG